rnacentral:rRNA from 1 species
UACGUAGGGUCCGAGCGUUGUCCGGAAUUAUUGGGCGUAAAGAGCUCGUAGGCGGUUUGUCGCGUCUGCUGUGAAAUCCCGAGGCUCAACCUCGGGCCUGCAGUGGGUACGGGCAGACUGGAGUGCGGUAGGGGAGAAUGGAAUUCCUGGUGUAGCGGUGGAAUGCGCAGAUAUCGGGAGGAACACCGGUGGCGAAGGCGGUUCUCUGGGCCUGUACUGACGCUGAGGAGCGAAAGCGUGGGGAGCGAACAGG